GUUCCAGGACUGGAGCAUAGAGCGUAAACAACUAAUUACCCAGAGAGAAGAACUUGUGAGUCCUGGUGUGACGGUGCAUCUGGUACCUCCUGCCAGAGCAACAACAAAUACAGAGUAACUCCCAGAACUGUUCCUGGACACCACAUGGUCAUAGUUGUAGGUGACCUUCUCCUCUGAACCCCGCUGGGAUGAAACCUCCUCCCCGUCCUUGCAGAAGAUGAUGCGGGUGGCCAGGAGCUGGGACAGCACGGAGCACUGGAGCCGCAUGGAGUCCCCUGGCUGGGCAGACGUCUGGCUCAGGUCCUGCUUCCCUUCUCCUGGCCCAAACCUCAGGGCAGCCUGGGCAGAAUUAGACCCAUCUCUCCAGCCCCAUGGAUGGAGCCAGAUGCUGCAGGACUAGAGAGCGACAGGCUGCUGCUCAGAAGAAGGAAGAGAGAGGAUAGUCACUGCUGUGAGCUGGGGGCUCCUGCUCCUCAACUAUCUGCACACACAGCCCAGCUGCUCUGUGCAGCUGCAGAGGGAGGGAACCACAGGACGAGCUGACAGCACCCUGAGCAUCUUCUCAUGCCUAGCCUGAGCUAGCUCUCCCCGGCCUGACUGAGUUAGCAGCCCAGCGAGGUGGGGGUGUAUCAUACGCUGAGAUGUGGGAUUAAAUAAGAUGCUCACACAAUGUUAUUUUUGUCCUCACACAUUAACCUGCCUCCCCUACCCCCCGCUUUAGUCUGUUCUCAUGAGGUUUUCAGGGGAGUUUAUUUAAAGGCCAGAAGGGACCAAUGUGACCAUCUAGUCAGAACAUCUACAUAGCCCAGGCCUGAGAGCCUCCCCCAGGGAUCCCUGAUUUGAGCUGCUCACUUCUAGCUGAGCUAGAGCACAUCUGGUGGAAAGAGACAUCCCCUCUUGGUUUAACGACUCCAAACCGGCUCCCAUUUCUAAACACUAAGGUGGCUGUGGCUGAUCAGCGAAAGAGAGGACCAGGGGAAAGGGAGAUGCUGGACUGGGACAGAGCAACUGGAGAUGGGCCAUGAGAUUUAGCUCCAGGUGUGGGUCCUAAUCUGACCUUCCUCAGAGUUGGGGGUGUGGACUUUAGGUUCUGGUAUGAGACAGCCCCAAAGGCUGGGUGUGGGGACUCUCUUUCUGAGACUAAAAGCACAAUAGGUACCAGAUACAAUGAUCCAGAGUCUGACUGAGGAGGGGAAGAAGAUGCUUGAUCUAGGGUAGCUGAGCCACCUAAUGGUGAAUGGGGAAGAGGGAGCAGAUGGAGCUGUUGAUCUCGGCAGAGAUUUCAGAAAGCUCAGUGGAGUGUGCAGAUCCGGUGUGUACCCACGGCCUGCCAUUGACAGACUGACUGGGCAGCUAGGCAAGGCCACUGACAAUCCUAGGUUACACUGUAACAAAAGACACUGGGAAGUUUAACACUCCAGUGAAGAAUACAACCCACAGCAGAUUGUCAGGACAGGGAUUGUGCUGUAUGAAACCUACCUGUACAGCACCAGCCCACCAAUGGUACUGAAGAAACAACACAUUCGUAAUGAUGCCUGCA